UAAAAAAAAAAUUCUUUCUGCCUAUUCUUGUUGCUGUUUUAAAAUAAACUUUAGAAUUACCCUAGUAAUUGUUAAGGGGACUUUUGUUGGUGGUCCAGUGGUUAAGACGCAGGGAACUUGGGUUCCAUUUAUGAUUGGGGAACUAAGAUCCUACCUGCCAGUGGAGUGGUCAAAAAAAUUGUUUAUAUCUUUAUGGAGAUCAUAUUAAAUGUGUGAAGUAACUCAAAUAAUUGCAGUCUUUAUGGUACUGAGUCUUCCUAUCCAUGAACCGGCCUGUUUUUAUGUGUUGUUUUUUUCCCUCUUAGUGUUCUUCAGAAGUUUUACAGUGUUCAUACAGUCUUGAACAUUUUUUUAAAGUUUAUUUCCAGGCCAAGUGGAGUCCAGCUCCCCCAACCAGGACAAGAGAUGAUUGGUUCACAGAUGGGAUGACCGAGGACCAGCAGGCCCCCAGAAAGCCUUCCCAGAGGGAUUUGUGGCAGGACUGGGUCCAGAACCUGUGUCUCAUGGCUCCAGCCCAUGACUUCCUCUUCCAUCAGUGGGGACUGUGGGGCAGUGGGAUUGGCUUGGAAUAAAGAGGGUCUUAAGAUUC